CACCCGCGCACGCGCAGCUACCUAUUUACAAUAUUUCCGCAUACGAUAACCUUAAUAUAUAUAUUAGUACCGAUAGUUACUUUGUGCUGUCAAUAAACAUUUAACUACAGUCCGCUGUUUGCUUCGCCACCAUAUGGUCCUUCUCACCUUGUCUACAUGAAAUAGCGACCAGCAGUAUAAAGGAACAAAGAAAGUUAACGGACCUAAACCGGCCACGUAACAUUCUUCGAGUUGUCGCCUGAAUCCUUCAAGUCGUCGUGCCUGCUUUCUUUUGGUUGUCGUGGAGUGCGUUCUGCAGGUCUUGGAUUUACCGCCUGCAGCCAUCCACUAAAUCAGGGACCACUUGGAGGGUCAUCGGGAUUGCGGAUCAUCAACUUCGGUUGCGCGUGAUCAGCAUCAACGCACACGAUUCGUCGGGCAACGAGGCUACGUGUUAAUUUCAUUCAUCACCUGUGGAUGGCAUAACAACCGUGAGAUCGUUCCAACCUACUCGUCAAUAUAUAAAAUCAUUUGCUGUCCUGCAUAAUUUAAAAUCAUUUGUCAUUUUAUUCUUGUACAUUGCCUCUCAUUUUAAUUCUAUUUAUAUUCAUCUCAUUCAUCAUAAUAACUAGAUUUUCUUAGUCUCAUUUAUCGUCAUAUUUGAACAUUAUAACGCCUGACAUCAUUCUAUAGCAAAAUUGCAUUUCUGUGUUAUUUCUUUUCUAUAUUGCCUGUUUGCUUGUGCCUUCUUAAAAACAUACACCUAGUUGGCUUCUAUUUUAUUCCAAGCUUUACUCUUCCUUCUUCAUUAUGUCGGAGUCUCAAAUAAAAACGUUGAUUAAAAAACGAGGUUCUAUAAAGGCCAAGCUUACACAAUUUUCGAAUUAUGUUGAACUAUCUAAAUCUUGUAAAAAAUUAAGCGAAUUGCAGACUGUAGAACUGGAAUUCAGGCUGGCUGCUAUUGAGGCCCUACAUGAAAAGUAUGACGCCUUGCAGGACGAGUUGGAGAUGUUGGCGGACGACCCCGACGAGCAAUAUGCGGAACGCGAAGAAUUUGAUAAGUCUAGUGGCUACUGCUCGCCAGCUGAUCACAAUCGCGCGCAGAGAGUUGAAUGCAGACAUCGCGUCCGAGCGCUCGUGAACGUGGUGGAUACUAACGGAAAGCUCCAUACCGCACGGGUCUUGCUGGACAACGGGAGCACAGCCAACUUUGUUUCAGAGGAUAUCUGCCAUGCGUCUGAGCGAGCUUACGGUGCCUGCGUCUUCGUGCGCAGCAUACAUGCCGAUGGCUCUGUUCACGUUCAUCUACUUAGUUCCAAGAGCAAGGUAGCUCCUAUAAAACCAGCUACUAUGCCCCGACUCGAACUAUGUGCAGUCUUGAUGGGCGCUCGAUUGCAUUCUAAGGUACUUCAAUCACUUACCCUAAAAUUCAACGAGUCAGUGUUCUGGUGCGACUCUACCAUAGUGUUGGGCUGGCUAUCGAUGACACCCUCGAAUCUUAAACCUUUCGUCCGUCAUCGUAUCUCUGAGAUCCAGGACAUUGUCGGUGGUGACUGAUGGCGCUACGUUCCUUCAGCAGAAAACCCCGCAGACCUCGUCUCACGAGGACUCUCAGCUGACAAGUUAGCUCACUCUUCUUUAUGGUGGUCAGGGCCACAGUUUCUACAACAAGACCAAUCAAUUUGGCCGCAAUUUCCACGAUCGCAUGACAAGUCUACGUUACCAGAGACAGUUAGAGUUUUUCAUGUCAACGUCGACGGUGAAAAUGUAAUUUCUACACUUUUCAAUCGGUGUUCAAACUUUAACGCAUUGCAACGCAUCAUAGCCUUUAUGUCACGGUUUCCUAAA